CGUAGUCCGGAUCGGAGUCUGCAACUCGACUCCGUGAAGUCGGAAUCGCUAGUAAUCGCAAAUCAGAAUGUUGCGGUGAAUACGUUCCCGGGCCUUGUACACACCGCCCGUCACACCAUGGGAGUGGGUUGCACCAGAAGUAGAUAGCUUAACCUUCGGGAGGGCGUUUACCACGGUGUGAUUCAUGACUGGGGUGAAGUCGUAACAAGGUAACCCUAGGGGAACCUGGGGUUGGAUCACCUCCUUACCUUAAAGA
rnacentral:rRNA from 1 species